GAUGAACGCUGGCGGCGUGCCUAAUACAUGCAAGUCGAGCGAACAGACGAGGAGCUUGCUCCUCUGACGUUAGCGGCGGACGGGUGAGUAACACGUGGAUAACCUACCUAUAAGACUGGGAUAACUUCGGGAAACCGGAGCUAAUACCGGAUAAUAUAUUGAACCGCAUGGUUCAAUAGUGAAAGACGGUUUUGCUGUCUCUUAUAGAUGGAUCCGCGCCGCAUUAGCUAGUUGGUAAUGUAACGGCUUACCAAGGCAACGAUGCGUAGCCGACCUGAGAGGGUGAUCGGCCACACUGGAACUGGAACACGGACCAGACUCCUACGGGAGGCAGCAGUAGGGAAUCUUCCGCAAUGGUCGAAAGCCUGACGGAGCAACGCCGCGUGAGUGAUGAAGGUCUUCGGAUCGUAAAACUCUGUUAUUAGGGAAGAACAAAUGUGUAAGUAACUAUGCACGUCUUGACGGUACCUAAUCAGAAAGCCACGGCUAACUACGUG
rnacentral:rRNA from 1 species